rnacentral:rRNA from 1 species
AGCAGCCGCGGUAAUUCCAGCUCCAAUAGCGUAUAUUAAAGUUGUUGCAGUUAAAAAGCUCGUAGUUGAAUUUCGGGGUUCAUACGUUGGUCGGGCUAUUUGGUCUGUACUUAUGUAAUGGAUUCCUACCUUCUGAAUAACCGGCAUGCCAUUAAUUUGGUGCGCCGGGGAAGCAGGACUGUUACCUUGAAAAAAUUAGAGUGCUUAAAGCAGGCUAUCGCCUGAAUACAUUAGCAUGGAAUAAUGAAAUAGGACGGCAUGGUUCUAUUUUGUUGGUUUCUAGGAUCACCGUAAUGAUUAAUAGGGAUAGUUGGGGGCAUUAGUAUUCAAUUGUCAGAGGUGAAAUUCUUGGAUUUAUUGAAGACUAACUUCUGCGAAAGCAUUUGCCAAGGAUGUUUUCAUUAAUCAAGAACGAAAGUUAGGGGAUCGAAGACGAUCAGAUACCGUCGUAGUCUUAACCAUAAACUAUGCCGACUAGGGAUCGGACGAUGUUAAUUUUUUAAUGACUCG